UUAGCCCUAAACCUCAGUAGUUAAAACAACAAAACUACUCGCCAGAAUACUACAAGCAACAGCUUGAAACUCAAAGGACUUGGCGGUGCUUCACACCCCCCUAGAGGAGCCUGUCCCAUAAUCGAUAAACCCCGAUCCACCCCACCCUCUCUUGCUUAGCCUAUAUACCGCCAUCUUCAGCAAACCCUGAUAAAGGUUACAAAGUGAGCGCAAAUGCCUGUCUUCGCAAAAACGUUAGGUCAAGGUGUAGCCCAUGAGACGGUAAAAGAUGGGCUACAUUUUCUACCUCAGAAAAUCCUACGAUAACUCUCAUGAAACCUGAGAGUCCGAGGAGGAUUUAGCAGUAAAUUAAGAAUAGAGUGCUUAAUUGAACUAGGCCAUAAAGCACGC
rnacentral:rRNA from 1 species